rnacentral:rRNA from 1 species
GAUGAACGCUGGCGGCGUGCCUAAUACAUGCAAGUCGAGCGAACGGACGAGAAGCUUGCUUCUCUGAUGUUAGCGGCGGACGGGUGAGUAACACGUGGAUAACCUACCUAUAAGACUGGGAUAACUUCGGGAAACCGGAGCUAAUACCGGAUAAUAUUUUGAACCGCAUGGUUCAAAAGUAAAAGACGGUCUUGCUGUCACUUAUAGAUGGAUCCGCGCUGCAUUAGCUAGUUGGUAAGGUAACGGCUUACCAAGGCAACGAUGCAUAGCCGACCUGAGAGGGUGAUCGGCCACACUGGAACUGAGACACGGUCCAGACUCCUAAGGGAGGCAGCAGUAGGGAAUCUUCCGCAAUGGGCGAAAGCCUGACGGAGAAACGCCGCGUGAGUGAUGAAGGUCUUCGGAUCGUAAAACUCUGUUAUUAGGGAAGAACAUAUGUGUAAGUAACUGUGCACAUCUUGACGGUACCUAAUCAGAAAGCCACGGCUAACUACGUG